CCGCCGGACGGGCCGCGGCCCAAGAGGUAAAAGAUAUCGCUUCUUCCGACGAUCGCGCCAUGAUUAAACUCAACAGCUACAGUGCGUUGAAGGGAAUCGAAAGUGACGUCAUUAACCAAAUGUGCGAGUUUGGUAGAAAUGGUAGAAAAUAGUCUCAUGAUAUAUUUAUUUUUCAUUCCAUAUAGGGUAACUUAAACAAUUUGCGUAGUACCGGUAUAUUGUUACUAAGUUCAGCAGCACUGUUUUAUUUUGUUGUGAGAGUGACUAUAUUAAUUUUGUAUUCAUAUAAUGUUUGAGUAUGUACAUGUGUAAUUGUGUAUAUGUAUAUGCUGAUUAGUUUAGAUUUUAUUGUAGAUAAUAUUCAUUAAGAGAGUGGCAUUAGUUUUUAAACCUAUGCAUAAUGUGUGACAUUUUCUGACGAUCAUAAAACAUUUUAAGAUAUCAAAUAUUUAUGAUAAUCAUGAUUAUCAAUAAUUAAAUCAUUUAUAUAUUGUCGUUUUGCAUGCCUUAUUUAUAGAUCAAGUUUUGAAAAUAAUUUUUAAGCGGUAAGUGAUUGAUGCGAGGCAAUAAACUUUGCACUAAAUAGCUUUGUAAUAAAAUUAUUUUUACGACU
rnacentral:misc_RNA from 1 species